UGGAGCUAAGUGGUGAGUGAGAGUGGUGUGAAAAUGGUCGACAUACGCUGCUUUGUUUCAUGUAGGUAUCAUAACAACGGCUUGUAUAUUCGCAUUCCUCGGUCUCCCGGUUUCACUUUUUGAAUGACGAAUACAGACUACCGCCACCUGCUGGUAGGGAGAGUUAUUUCAUCUCAAGCAGGCGCAGAACGUAUACGUGCUAACUGGCCGUCAGCUGUAGUCUUUGCGGUGUGUUCGAGUGCAGCUAGUCGGCCAAAACAAAGGCGACGUGAGGCGGCGCAACUGAUGGCCUUCGUCGCCUCUAGUUCUUUGACGUCAGCUUGGUGUGUCCCCAGCUUUAGACAUUUUAUUAAGAAAGUA